CCGGAGAGGGAGCCUGAGAAACGGCUACCACAUCCAAGGAAGGCAGCAGGCGCGCAAAUUACCCAAUCCCGAUACGGGGAGGUAGUGACAAUAAAUAACAAUACAGGGCUCUUAUGGGUCUUGUAAUUGGAAUGAGUACAAUUUAAAUCCCUUAACGAGGAACAAUUGGAGGGCAAGUCUGGUGCCAGCAGCCGCGGUAAUUCCAGCUCCAAUAGCGUAUAUUAAAGUUGUUGCAGUUAAAAAGCUCGUAGUUGAAUUUCGGGGUUCUACCGUUGGUCGGGCAAUAGUCUGUACUGGCGUGUGGAAUUUCUACCUUCUGGGGAACCAUCAUGUUAUUUAUUUAGCGUGGUGGGAAACCAGGACCUUUACCUUGAAAAAAUUAGAGUGUUCAAAGCAGGCUUACGUCUGAAUACAUUAGCAUGGAAUAAUAAAAUAGGACGGUGGUCCUGUUUUGUUGGUUUCUGAAUCACCGUAAUGAUUAAUAGGGAUAGUUGGGGGCAUUAGUAUUCAAUUGUCAGAGGUGAAAUUCUUGGAUUUAUUGAAGACUAACUUCUGCGAAAGCAUUUGCCAAGGAUGUUUUCAUUAAUCAAGAACGAAAGUUAGGGGAUCGAAGACGAUCAGAUACCGUCGUAGUCUUAACCAUAAACUAUGCCGACUAGGGAUCGGACGAUGUUAAUUUUUCUUGACUCGUUCGGCGCCUUAC
rnacentral:rRNA from 1 species